ACCACUGAGCCACCUUCCCAGCCCCUGUUCUGUUUUUCAUAUCAUAAAAAUCUGGGACUGGGAAGGUGGCUCAGUGGU
rnacentral:pre_miRNA from 1 species